rnacentral:misc_RNA from 1 species
AAAGUCGUAACAAGGUCUCCGUUGGUGAACCAGCGGAGGGAUCAUUACGAGAGUGUCACCGCUCCCAACCCAUUGUUUACCUACCCGUCCACCGUGCUUCGGCAGGCAGCCCUGUGGGACAGAGCCUCGCCCCCCUCGCGGGGGGUGCCUGCCGCUGGCCAACACACAUUCUAGUUGUUUUAGUACCGUCUGAGUCUUCCACAAAUGAACAAAACUUUCAACAACGGAUCUCUUGGUUCUG